AACGGCUGAACCAGCAACUAGGAGGAAUGUAAAAUUCUUGUAAAAAGGAAUUUUCUAUAUUUGUAUAUCAAAAUAGGGUUAACAUAGUUAAGUAAAAUUCCAAAUAGAAAUUGAUUAUGACAGUUUCUAUGAGUAUGUCUUGACCAAUUCAUGUGCCAGCAGUCGCGGUAACACAUGUAAGACUGGUGUUAUUCAUCUUUAAUAGGUUUAAAGGGUACCUAGACAGUUAAUUAAGCCUAAAAUGGGUACUAAUAUAACUAGAGUUUAAUGUAAGAAGAAGAGUACGGUGGUGUAGAGAUAAAAUUCUGUGAUACCACUUAGAAACUGGCAAAAGCGAAGGCAAUCUUCUAUGUAAAAACUGACGUUGAGGGACGAAGGCUCGUUAAAAAUAAUAGGAUUAGAUACCCUAGUAUUGUGGGCAGACAAUGAUGAAUGUCAUACGCAAGAAAUUUUUUGUGUAUAAAUGAAAGUGUAAGCAUUCCACCUCAAGAGUAAUAUGGCAACAUAUAAACUGAAAUCAUUAGACCGUUUCUGAAACUCGUAGUGAAGUAUGUUGUUUAAUUUGAUAACCCACAAAGAACCUUACCACAAUUUGAAUAACUGCAGAACCGGUCCAGGUUCAUUUAUUAGCGCAGUUACAAGCGUUGCACGGCUGUCUUCAGUUAAUGUCGUGAGACUUUGGUUAGAUCCAUUUAAUUAACGUAUAACCCUUACUUUAUUUAUUAUAAAAUAGUUCGCCGCUAUAUUGGUAGUGAUAUAAGGGACCAAGACAAGU
rnacentral:rRNA from 1 species